CGCACUAGUCGGGGAGUUAGCGGUGCCCUGUUGCCUGCAAUCCGCUAUAGCAGGGAUGAAGUCCCACAUGAGGGUCUGCGCUGUGCCGUCUGUCCAUGUAAGUGGUGUUGAGGAAUCGGUCUUGCGCAACGGGCUCCCGUGAACCAUGUCAGGCGGGGAACCGAGCAGCAUUAAGCGGAUCUGUCCGUGUGCCGCGAGGAUGCCGUUUCUGAGCCAACUGCAUGGGAAACGGGUAUGGUUGCAGAUUCGGGUGUGGGUGUGC
rnacentral:SRP_RNA from 1 species